UACAGAGGUGGCAAGCGUUGUUCGGAAUUAUUGGGCGUAAAGGGCGCGUAGGCGGCUUGGCAAGUGGAAGGUGAAAUCCCUCGGCUUAACCGAGGAACUGCCCUCCAAACUGCUUGGCUUGAGACCGGGAGAGGUGAGUGGAAUUCCCAGUGUAGCGGUGAAAUGCGUAGAUAUUGGGAGGAACACCAGUGGCGAAGGCGGCUCACUGGACCGGUACUGACGCUGAUGCGCGAAAGCGUGGGGAGCAAACGGG
rnacentral:rRNA from 1 species